CAGUGGAUCUAUGGAAAUCUCAUUGAUGGUUUAUAAGCUGAUUAUAAAUUCAAUCAGUUCAUAUAUUUGUUUUAUGCUCAAUUCAAGUAGUAUAUUAUAACGGCCAAUUAUUUUAAAUUCGAUUCUGAUUUACAAUUUGAUUAUCCGCUGGCUUAGUCACCGAAAAUAGUUUUCACUCAGUUAGCCGCUAUCGGAUAGUUGAUCAUAGUUUGUGUCCUGGCGAGUUCACGAUCAUGUCGAGUAGACGUAGACGCGUUAGAAAAGCUAUCCGCGAAGUCCUUUGCAAAAACUCUAAGUGUACUGUAGUAGUGUAGUGAUCGCUGAUCUUUGCAAUACAUAUAGCGAUUACAUAACCACACUCGAAGAAUAUAAAGUACGAACUAUAAAUUAUAAUUUAUGUUUAGUUUUUACUUAUUUAUACUCAUGAUCAAACAAUCGAUAUUAUAAUAUGUAUUUUUUUCUUCGAAAAAAAAUCGUUUUUAAAAUUGUUUUUUUUUAGUUCUAUAUAACACUAUUAUAUAUAUCUAAAUAUUAAAUACGUUUUUAAAUAAGUUUGUAAAAAAAAUUACAGAGAAUCGAUGGCUGUAGCUCUGUAGUCUGUAGGUAAGUAUACCAUUUGGGGUAUUUUUGGGUAUACAUAUAUAUUUGAGGUAAAGUGAAGUUUAAUGAUGCACGGAAUUCAGUGCAUAAUAUCGCAAUAAGCAUUAGUCUUUGAUCUCGAAUUGAAAAAAAAAUAUAGAGCCUGUUUCUAUCCAUGAACUUUGUUCUUACUUUUUAUAGAAAAAAAAUAUUGAACUUAGAAGUUUUUCAUAAAAUUGAUUUGUUAUGUUAUCAAAGUAAAAAAGUUAAAAAAAUAUAUUAUUAUUAUUAUUAUUAUAUUAUUAUGAUUUUUAGACGUAGUCUAGCCGUAUUCUGAUUUCUGUCACCAAGGCGAUAUUCUCGAGUCACACACGAUAUACAUUUUAUAAAAUCAUUAACGCAGAUCAACCAAAAAUAAUGUUUAGUUCCAUUUUUUUUUGUUUGGCAUUAUUGGCGUGUUUGCACUGUCCAUCGGCCGCGGUCACCGAUCAGACCGGUCCGUGGCCCGCUGUCGUCCACUGGACUCGCUGUCCCCACGACCGUCCGGCCGCGGUCGACAACCGGGCGACAGACGAGACCAUUUCCGCCGCAGUCACCGAUCAGACCGACCCGUGGCCCGCUGUCGUCCACUGGACUCGCUGUCCCCACGACCGUCCGGCCGCGGUCGAUCACCAGGCGACGGACGAGACCAUUUCGGCCGCAGUCGACCUCCGAGCGACGGACGAGACCAUUUCGGCUACGGCGUACGAUCAUUUUUAUGAUGAAGCUGAAAGAGAAGAGAUCGAUGACGAUAACAUUUCGAUUAAUAAUUUCCUACCCAUCAUCCUAAUAGCGAUGUUUUUAUUGAUGUAUCCGAUCCUUUAUUGUUCUUGUAAUUCCAGGAAACAAAAAGGUACUUUUUAUUUACAGACGAGUAACUGUCAGUGUACAGCGAAAUAUAUUCGCUGUAUUUAAAUAAUCACAUCGGAUACAUCAAUAAAAACAUCGCUAUUAGAAUGAUUGGUAGGAAAUUAUGAAUCGAAAUGUCAGGACUGUUUUUUAAAUUUUUUUCACUGACCUUGAUCCGCGGCUGUGAUGAAGUGGAGGUGUAGACGUGUAGUGGCAAUGUUUUGGUUUUGAUCAAUGCAUGAACUAAGAUAUACCUCAAAAAUAUGCAUUUAUGCUCUAAUUUUGUAAGAAUAUACCCUAUAAAAUAAAAAUUAAUUAAUUAUAAAUAA